GACGAACGCUGGCGGUGUGCUUAACACAUGCAAGUCGAACGGUAAGGCCCUUUCGGGGGUACACGAGUGGCGAACGGGUGAGUAACACGUGAGUAACCUGCCCUCAUCUCUGGGAUAACAGUCGGAAACGGUUGCUAAUACUGGAUAUUAGCCUGCAAGGCAUCUUGUGGGUUGGAAAGAUUUUUUGGUUGGGGAUGGACUCGCGGCCUAUCAGCUUGUUGGUGAGGUAGUGGCUCACCAAGGCUUCGACGGGUAGCCGGCCUGAGAGGGCGACCGGCCACAUUGGGACUGAGAUACGGCCCAAACUCCUACGGGAGGCAGCAGUGGGGAAUAUUGCACAAUGGACGGAAGUCUGAUGCAGCAACGCCGCGUGCGGGAUGACGGCCUUCGGGUUGUAAACCGCUUUCAAUUGUGACGAAGCUUUUUGUGACGGUAGCAGUAGAAGAAGCACCGGCUAACUACGUG
rnacentral:rRNA from 1 species